GGAAAGAGUCAGUUAUCAAAAACUCAAUGUUUUGGUGAGGUAAAAAAAUCUUCCUUCUGUAGACAGUUUGGGGAUAGAGAGAGAGCAUAAGUCUGAUCUUGAUGUUGUUGUCGUUCUUUUUCUUGAUUGAGAGCAUAUUUUGUCUACUUUCCCCAGUGGAUUCUCUCCUUUUUUCUUCCAUCAAGUUAAUUUUUUCUCUUAGAACACAACCCUUCUUGAUUCAUGUAGUUGAUCUCCAAGUUGUAGAUGAUGAGAAUGAAUCAAUUGACUGAAAAGUUGGCAAUGAUAGUGAUGUAGACGAUGACUAAGUGGAUGAAGAUGUCUUUCCAAGUGGCCAAAUAUGGGAAUAAGUUUGCAGAGGGUUAAGAAGCUAUGUUUAAUCUGUUUGGUGGGCGCAGCCAUCCAAAAUUGUUGAUCCAAUGUAUUUGCCAAGGGUACGGACCAUAGUAAUGUUGGAUUGUUUUAGCUCUCUUUGAACGAUAAAUGAAUUUACCUAUCAAAAAAAUAAAUGAUGAAUGAAUUUAUUUUUUCUGGACUACUGAUUUUGUAUUUCUUUUAUGUUUCAUGGCUUUUUAUGGUUAUUAUGUUUUUUUGCCCGAAGAUAAAUGUGAAAUGCGCUCAAGAACUAUUUAUUGUACAAAUAUUAACAAGAAGGUAGUUUUGGAAAUACAUAUUACUAUUGUUAUGUAAUGAAAAGCCGUAAGGCACUACUUGCUUUUUUCUUCAUAAUUUGGUCAUCUUCUUUCUCCUUUUUUUUUUUUUUUCCUCUUGUUCAUUUGAUGCAGGUUCCAAAAAAAUGUCAAACCCUUUCUCUGAAAUAAUUUGUGGAAAGGUAAGUUAGCUACUUAUAUAUGGAUUCAGUGGCUGCAUUGUCCUUUAUAAAAGAGGAUGAAGUGGUUGGUGUUAACCAGAUGAGUUUUAUAGAUUUUGUAGGUUAGGAUAUAUUACCAUGGAUGAUCUAAUGAAAAUUGAAUCCUUCUUUGGAUAUGAAUUUUUUAUUUUUAUUUUAGGGUGCUAUUUGUGAUUAGUUUACAUAAGAAUGGCUUGGUUGGGGCCAUGUAUUUUUGCUUAUUCAAUCAUUCGGAAAGUAUUAUUUACCCUUUUCCUUGCUUGUCUUUACAUUCUUAUUCAUGUUUGUUACUAUAAAUUAGGAUGUGUUCCAUCUUACUCAGGGAUAUAAAAUUACUUUAUUGAAACUUGGAGGUGAUAUUAUAAUUCUAUGCUUUUUCUUUGGAUGUGUAUUGGGAGGGAUGGUGAAAUUUGGAAUAGAUCUAAAUUGUACCUAGAUAGUGUUCAAAUUGAGCUUCAGGGAAUUGGCCUCCAUUGUGUGUGCUCUAAAGAUUUGAGGUAUAUAUAGUUAAUGGAUUAUGAGCAAUAAGUAUGGUUUCCAAAAUUGGACUAGAUUGCCUGGUCCAACUGGGUUAACCGUGAACCAAAGGUUAAUCCAGUUUUUUAAUUUGGAUAACCAUGCAUUUUAAAUAAUGCCAGCGAAUCACAUGAACCACCGGUCGAACUGGCUAACAACUGAACCAUUCUCAAUGCGGCUGGUUCCACCGAUCGAACUGGCUAACAACUGAACCAUUCUCAAUGUGGCUGGUUCAAUGGCGUGCUUUUUUGUAAAACUUUGGAAGGCGGGGGUAUCGAAAUUCAGACCCCCCAACACCAUUAGAUUUUUGUCACGCAUUGUGACCAAUGAGGCAACUACCAUUGUUGUGUCAUUUAUUGAUAAACUACAAGUGAAUAUGCUAUUUAUGAAUUUCAUUUUGAAAAUUAUCUUAUUUUAGAGUAAAAAUUGUGAAAAUUCAUUUGAAAUUUGUUUAAAUUUCUUUAGAUAGUCAACUUUGCUCAUUUUUACAAAUUUAAUAUCUUUAUUUGUAUAUUAAUUAAUUAGGACAUCAUCAUGGUUUGAUCUAUGGUUGAAUCCCAAUCUAACCUCAAAAACCUUGAAUCUCUCCCUUUUCCGGUUCUUUGAACAGUUCAGUUUUUAAAACUAUGGCCAUAAGCUUUUGAAGGUUCUAAUUUGUUUCAAAUGUAUGUUUGCAAUGUCAUACUUUUUAAAGUCUAAAAAAUAAGUCAAUAAUUAUUUUUAAAAAAAUAUAAUUUGAGAUCUUAAUGUCAAUAGUAACUUUGGCUUGGUUGAAACUAAAAACCUGAAAGGUUAUCUUAUCAAAAAUGGUUUUGUGUAUAUUUUAUAUGGUUAAUUUGAUUUUCUUUGUCUCUACUAUUUCUUUAAGAUAUUAUCUAGCUGUAAUGUGGCAAAAAAAAUCUCAAAGAUCUAUAUUAUUGCAUAUGAUUGAUAUAAUGUGUAUAUGGUAAUUUCCUCUUGUUCUGCCCUUGAUAUAUACUUCUCGCAAUGUACAACAUGUAUAUCAUGGUGUGUGUACUUUUCAAAUUUCUUCCAAGUUAGUGAAUUCACUUCUGUGCAUGAUCCAACGCUUUUGAUUAUAUAUGAUAUGUCCAGUUUAUUUCUUUCUUUUCUUUUUUCUGGCUGAGUUGUUAUGUUCAGAUACAAAUGCUGAAGUACUUGUGCAAUCUUUGGCAAAGUUUGCUCGUCCAGUUGUCCUCUUUAAAUUAUGGUGUUAACCAAAUGUUCUUUCUUCAAUUAUGGGUACUAAGCGUCGUAUAUGGGCAGAUACCUUUGAGUGGAUAUGGGCCAUUACUUCAAGCUAUCUGAGUUGGAAUUGCUAUACAUGACUUGAGUAGGUAUGUUCUCACUCCCAAUUUGUAGUUUUUUAAAACCAAAAUUUAUACUGUCUUAUCACUUAUGUUUAAAAGCAUUGAAAAUUGAGUCUAACCUAAUUUUAGAGAAAUUGCCACAAUGGAGACUGAUUGUGCAAGAGAUACAUAGGGAAGCAACUAACUAAAUUAAAAUAAGAAAUGUUGUUAGCAUAAGUUGAAUUUAUUAUUCUAGGUUUUGAAUGGUAAUCAUCCUCUUUUAGGAUAAUAGGAAUGCCAAUUUAUUAAUGGACACUGAGUUUUCAAAUUGACAUAAGAUGUCUUAAAAGUUUUUCUCUUGAAUUCAAGUUUAAGCUAAUGAAAACUAGCUCAACUUUGUUAUUGGAAAAAAGAAUGAAAGAAAUUUAGGCAUAUGUAUAUGCGAAGAUGAGAACUCUUGGAAUUUCUUUUUUGAUAUCAAUGCUAUAUUAUUUUCAGAUCUAGCAUAAGUGACAGUGACCUCUGAAUGAUUUGCAAUUUUCUCCUCAAAAUGCUAUCCAGACUCAAGUCAAGAGUCCUUACUAUUUGUCUUAACAUUAUACCUUGUCAUGCUUUAUCUGCAUACUUGUAUUUGUUUCACAUUAGCUUCAAUUCAGGAUUAUCUUAUCUGUGAUUGUCAGCUGCAUCCAAUUUGCCACAAUUUAAUUUUCUUUCUUUUUUGUUUACACUCGUGAUGGAAGGAUGGCAUCCCAAUUUCUAAUGGGGACAUAUUUACAACACAAAAAGAUUGCUUUUGUUAUUCUAAAUUUUUGUAAUAU